ensembl:lncRNA
UGCAGUUGCUGUUGUUGAUGACAUGGCAAGUAAAGUGUUCUCAGUGCAGUUGUCACUCUCACCAACUCCGUUAUAGAGCAAUCUAGUCUCUGGAAGAUCAUGGCAUAGAUGGGCCUUCCACUCUUUAUGUGUCGUGGUUAUCUUUGGAUGAGGUACAGGUAAGGACAUGUGAUACAUGUGUGUUUAUAUUAGGUGAUUACUACAAAUAGUAUUUAUCUGUGCAUCAUAUAUAUAUAUAUAUAUAUAUAUAUAUAUAUAUAUUGUAUAACUAUAUAUAUGUAUAAGUAUGUAACGUGAUGAAUGUGUUAUCAUUUCAGGAAUUGCUUACAAAUACAGACAUCUCAUCGACUGGAUAUUUACACCCGUCAUUUCUCCCCCAAGCUCCGCCAUGUCUCUCUUGUCACCUUGCAUACCUGAAGAGUUCAAAGAAGGUCUAAAUGCCCUUGGGCUCCUAGAUGAGCUUGUGGCUCACCCAACAGUUUUUCAAGAACAAUUCCUGAAAACUGAUGCCCAAAUUACUGCUGCUGGCAUUGUGGAGCUGUUCAAGCCACAAUUCAGCUCACCAAGAGGCUCCCAUAAAAGGAGACAAGAGACCAGGGACCGUUGCAUUCUGGCGGGACUGGUUUCUGGAGAUGGAGGGUAAGACAGUUUUCAAACUCAGAACCACAAAAAUCAAUUUGAAAUUAUUACUUGUUAACGAAGUAAUGGAGUUGCACAAUUAAUCAUUAAAAGAUUGCGAUCUCGCUUCAAACACCCACAAAAUAUCAUACCUAUUUAAGACAGAUUUGUCUGUCUGUUUAACCUUGGGCAAGUACAGUCGAUCACAGCGAACAGCUGCCGCUGACCCAGAGAGUCAUAGAUAUGAAAAAGCUUCACAAAUUGUAUUUUUCAACCACACCGUAUCAUUAUUUUUGUUAAAAUUAUUCAAAUUAACAUAGAUAAUCAAAGAACUGCGAUACAAGUUUUUAGUUUGGAUAACAGUGAUAAAAAUAAUAGAGUAAAUCACUUUUUGAAAGUAACUUCAAAUAAAGGUGCUUCAAAUAAAGAUUGUAUCAAUUACGUUAGACCAGCGGACAAGCAACUGUUUAAUG